CUCGCUCGACUCCACCCUUGAACAUCUAGCUGCUGCUUUGGCGACCCUGCCGCUCCCACUCCCACUGCCCCCCCACGCCAUGAACACUGCCUCUUUGUGUCAGAGUUUCGAUACUAUAUAAUAUUUAAAACUUUCAUCUCUUGAUCUCUUGGUUCUGGAAUAAAUCAACAAAAUGCCAUAAUGCAUGUGAAUUGGUGAAUUGCAAUUCAUCGAAUCUUUGAAUCUUUGAUGCCCCUUGGGCCUUCUGGAAUUCCUGCCUGUUCGCCUGUUCUAUCGCCAUUCUAACCUGGCUUGCUUGUGGGCGCCUGGGCGUCCCCUCCCUGGCAGACCCUCCAGCUGAUGUGGCCGCUCUUCAGCUCUGCGAUUACUAUUUUCUCUCUGGAGUGCGUCUGGACGCAUGCUUGCCAUCUUUCCCCAAGUUUAUCUCGUUGACUCGAUCUAGCCGGGAAACUCUCAUCUUAAUCAUCAAGGAA
rnacentral:misc_RNA from 1 species